CUAAACAUUGAGUAAAAGGAUAGAUAAAAGACUGGAUCCUUUGAAGAAAAGGGCUGUGCCUUAUCUUGUCAGUUAAGGUUCAAGACCUGGGUGAGAAGCUAGUGUCAUGCCCACUCAAUUCAGGCUGAUGUCGUGGCUAGAAGGUAAAUUCCACAAAGGAACUCAUGGUGGAUAUAUUAACCAACUUCCCCUGACCAAAUCCUCCACCUAAUUGGCAGUCACCAUUCCCUCUUCAAAAGAUACUGUCUCUUACCACCCUCAGUCACAAACUCGCUGUUAAGGCUUCUUACACACCACACUUUCACACAAAUUUUAAUUAAUGGACUAAUUAAAUGGUUAUGAUUAUGUUAAUUAGACAGCAGAAGAGGCACUAAUGGAUCUGAACCUACCAGAUGCUUUUUAAAAUGAAAUGAGCGCUGGAAGGAUUGCUAACACAAAGUAUGGAUGACCAUCUCUGUCCUUCAAUUUUAUAACUCCUCAUUGUUCUGAAAUAGAGGUGUAUACCAGAAAAAUCACAAUGGCUUUGAACUAUGGAUCAACACAACAUGUGAAGACACGAGGCCCCCAAUAUUAUCCCAUUCUUCUAUUCAUGGUCUUAGUCCCUUUGAGGGACAGAACAUUAAAAACAGAACACCAGCUUAGUGAGACUCAGAAUCUGAUCCCAAUUCGAAGCCAAAGGCUGUCCACAGAGUGAGUACCCAGCAUUGCAGUACUCUGGGGCAGGGUACAAGAAAGGCUAUUUCUCAUGACUCAGAUUAAAACCACAACAACACUGCUGAUCAAAGGUGAAUAUAGGUUAAAAAAAAAUACCUAUCUGAUUUAAAGUUUGGUCUCAGAUCCAAAAUAAUACAUCUUCUAAUAAUUGUCCCAUGGAUAUGACAGUCCUACUAGCUAGCAGAGCUUUCCUUCAACCCAGAUGUCAGAAGAACAUGACAUAAAAGAAGCUCCCACCUUGCUAUUUCAGCAGAAAUGGACUGCUGAGGCCAAACUUAGGUAUUCAUGGCCACUGUGCAAGCCGACCUUGUGCUGGCAUUCUGAACAGACUCCAAAGGAUCUGAUUUAGGUGAUCCUGCUAUAACUAGAUGCCAAGAACUCAAAUGUGAUGGAUUGUCUCAGAGUCAAUGCCAACUUUACUGGGUGUGUUGUGGAUCUUGCAACAUGAAUGGAUUUAUGCUAUAGAGUUUGACAGCUGUGGCGCCAGAAGAUAAACAGAAUUACAAGAUCAUUCAUGAAAGCCGAUCUUGCUGGCAAAACAGGAGAACACAUGGCUGGCCAAGUUCUUUCAAGAUCAGACAGGUCCUGACAAUGGCUUUAUCUUGGAUGUUCUGAGAGAUGCCCCUCCACCAGCUCACAGCAGCCAAAUUUAUGUGAAGGCUGUCAGGUGUCUAGAGGCAAAGCUCAUCAGAUGGUGGUUGGACUAUCAGCUAAGUAUCACACUCUUAAGGACAAGACACCAGCAAGGAAGAUGAAGACUUACUGUUUGUUCUCUGCUCAAGAGAGUAAGAGAUGACUAGGAACUAGCUUGAGAACAGCGUCAGCUAAGAGAAAGAAAUUCAUUCAAGUACAACUCAUUUGAACUUGGCAUGGACUAUAAAAGAAGACUAUUUUGGGACAACCUGAAAUAGAUUUAAAUUAGACAAAAAAAUCCAUAAUAAAAUAUUUGUGUAUUUGAAGCUUAAGGAAAGA
rnacentral:lncRNA from 1 species